CUUUUCAGAAGCUGGUUUUUCGUGCUCCUCCCAAAUAAAAGCGGUUCAGAAUCCCAACGACCCACCAAAGAUUUCCAAGAAAAAAGAAAAAGACGGAUUCAACAGCACAUUGGGGGGGCUGGCUCCCAACUGCAAAAUCUUCUGGUUUUAAUAGCUUUCACAUUUUGAAAGUUCCUUAAAAAGAGGAAUAAAGACAGCCAAUAUUGAACUCGAGAAGAUGAUGGACAUGGUGGUUGGAGCUGUGGACUUUUAAUGCCUCACAACAGACGCUCUCACAGUUUUGGCUUCCAACCAAGGUGGAGGUGUGGUCCAUUUCCCCUUUUUAAAUUUUUUAUAGCAGAUCCCCUUAUUUUGAUUCAAUUCAAAGUUACCCCAUUUGCACUGUUGAAGAAAUAUUCUAUAGUUAGAACAAGAAUUAGUUUCUUUUGGCCCCAAUAAUGGUAUAUAAGAAGCUCUGGAAGGAAACAAGAUUAUUUGGGAAGUUUGCCUGCAGGAAGCUGUGUGUGGACUGUGGAUCCAUUGAAACUUCAGGAAAAUGCGUGAUAAUGUUUCA